UACGAAGGGGGCUAGCGUUGUUCGGAAUUACUGGGCGUAAAGGGCGCGUAGGCGGCGUUUUAAGUCGGGGGUGAAAGCCUGUGGCUCAACCACAGAAUGGCCUUCGAUACUGGGACGCUUGAGUAUGGUAGAGGUUGGUGGAACUGCGAGUGUAGAGGUGAAAUUCGUAGAUAUUCGCAAGAACACCGGUGGCGAAGGCGGCCAACUGGACCAUUACUGACGCUGAGGCGCGAAAGCGUGGGGAGCGAACAGG
rnacentral:rRNA from 1 species